rnacentral:rRNA from 1 species
GAUGAACGCUGGCGGCGUGCCUAACACAUGCAAGUCGAACGAUGAAGCCCAGCUUGCUGGGUGGAUUAGUGGCGAACGGGUGAGUAACACGUGAGUAACCUGCCCUUAACUCUGGGAUAAGCCUGGGAAACUGGGUCUAAUACCGGAUAGGAGCGCCUACCGCAUGGUGGGUGUUGGAAAGAUUUAUCGGUUUUGGAUGGACUCGCGGCCUAUCAGCUUGUUGGUGAGGUAAUGGCUCACCAAGGCGACGACGGGUAGCCGGCCUGAGAGGGUGACCGGCCACACUGGGACUGAGACACGGCCCAGACUCCUACGGGAGGCAGCAGUGGGGAAUAUUGCACAAUGGGCGAAAGCCUGAUGCAGCGACGCCGCGUGAGGGAUGACGGCCUUCGGGUUGUAAACCUCUUUCAGUAGGGAAGAAGCGAAAGUGACGGUACCUGCAGAAGAAGCACCGGCUAACUACGUG